rnacentral:rRNA from 1 species
CCUACGGGAGGCAGCAGUGAGGAAUAUUGGUCAAUGGACGCGAGUCUGAACCAGCCAAGUAGCGUGAAGGAUGACUGCCCUAUGGGUUGUAAACUUCUUUUAUAUGGGAAUAAAAUGUUCCACGUGUGCCCCUUUGUAUGUACCCUAUGAAUAAGGAUCGGCUAAUUCCGGGCCAGCAGCCGCGGUAAUACGGAGGAUCCGAGCGUUAUCCGGAUUUAUUGGGUUUAAAGGGUGCGUAGGUGGACUGUUAAGUCAGUUGUGAAAGUUUGCGGCUCAACCGUAAAAUUGCAGUUGAAACUGGAGGCCUUGAGUACAGUAGAGGAGGGCGGAAUUCGUGGUGUAGCGGUGAAAUGCUUAGAUAUCACGAAGAACUCCGAUUGCGAAGGCAGGUCACUGGGCUGCAACUGACGCUGAGGCUCGAAAGUGUGGGUAUCAAACAGGAUUAGAUACCCUAGUAGUC